rnacentral:rRNA from 1 species
UGAACGCGUGGCGGCGUCGCUUAACACAUGCAAGUCGAACGGAGAUUACUUUUAGCUUGCUAUUUGUAAUCUUAGUGGCGGACGGGUGAGUAACGCGUGGGUAACCUGCCUUAUACAGGGGGAUAACAGUCGGAAACGACUGCUAAUACCGCAUAAGCGCACAGUAUCGCAUGAUACAGUGUGAAAAGAUUUAUCGGUAUAAGAUGGACCCGCGUCUGAUUAGCUGGUUGGUGAGGUAACGGCCCACCAAGGCGACGAUCAGUAGCCGGCCUGAGAGGGUGAACGGCCACAUUGGGGCUGAGACACGGCCCAAACUCCUACGGGAGGCAGCAGUGGGGAAUAUUGCACAAUGGGGGAAACCCUGAUGCCAGCGACGCCGCGUGAGUGAAGAAGUAUUUCGGUAUGUAAAGCUCUAUCAGCAGGGAAGAAAAUGACGGUACCUGACUAAGAAGCCCCGGCUAACUACGUGCCAGCCGCAGC